UGGGAUGUUUUGGGUUUGAUGAAGUGUGCAUAAAGGUUGUGAAUGAUCAACAAGGAAUCGAUCACUCUUUGAAAGAGGAGAGAACAUUCUAUGUGAUCUCAUAGGAUGAUGACUCAGAGAGUCUCUAGUCAGAGCGAGGAUGAAUAGUAAAAAAUAUUUUUACUGAUUCAUUAAUCAAAUCAUCAUCAUCAGAUCGAGACAUAUAUAGAUAGAUAUUUGGGCUUGAUAUGAUUUC
rnacentral:lncRNA from 1 species